GUUAUUCGCAGGUGCAGUUGGUGCGUGUGAUUCUCAGGGGGGCCUGCGCAGGGCCAGGAGCUGGACUCGAUGGUCCUGCUGGGUCCCUUCCAUCUCAGCAGAUUCUGUGACUUUCUGUGACGGACAGGCACCGACCGGGGGGGAUUGAGCACUCGUCCGGCCGCAGAUUGCACGGAUACACCAACACCCGCCAAGUGAGGGACCUCUGCAAAAGCAGGUUCUGCAUCUCCCCCCAUCACAACAGGCCCCCUGGAUACUGGCAGGUUGCUGUGAGGUCUGAAGAGCCCCAGCUUUCUCAGCCUGCUGUGCCUGGAAGAGGGUGUGGACAUGACAGGAGCUCAUCACUGCCUGCUUUGAGCCGACAGUUCACCGAAAACGUGGCAGGAGACAGGUCAGGUUGGGCUGCGAGCAGGAACUGGAACUGUAAUCAGAUUAAGGGAAGUGUCACACACCUCUGGCUCCAGGGCACAACCUGGCAUCUCUCCUCCUCCACUCUCAACCCAGUCGCCCAUCCAGUCAACUUCUUGAACUUCACACAGGGUCACAGGGAAAGGUGAAAGCUUUGUCUAUAUUCAGCUCAGGCUUCGCUGUGCUGAGCUGAAUGUUCACAAGAUCCCACCUCUGAGGCUGUCAGCAACCUGAGAGUCCAUGUGAGGGAAGGACUUGCCCAUGGUGUUACCUGCUGCCAGGAAUCCUGCCUGUGAAGACUUCUGCAUUGGUUCCAUCGAAGCACCCACCCAACACUGCUAACUGCUGGAGCCUGUGACAAUUCAACGUGACUCCAAAUUGCCUGGCGUCAAAAUUGCUACUUCAAUCAGCAACUAACAUGGAAUGAAUUAGCAAUGGACAGUUCAUGCUGUGGAAACCACAAGGUCACUUCUUGGUAAAAGGACAGCUGGAUGUAACUAUCUGCAGUAGCAGCAAGGAAAAAAUAAACUUGGGAGGGAUAGUAGCAGCCAGCAAUGCAAUGGCGCUGUAGGGAAAGGGAAAUGCCAUUUUCAGAUGAAGUAGCAAUACCCCAAGAUGCUGUUCUCAGUUUUAUUCUGGUUUAUCCAACACAAACAAUGUCUCAGGUGAGGAGACUGUAAAACAGGAAUAAAAAUUACGUACAGAAGAAAAUACAGCAUAUCAGGAGGUGUUGAAAUCAGAAUAAUUUUAACUGACUUUGGUUAUUGUAAAGGACAGUAGUAAUUCCCAUGUCUUCCAGAGAAGAAUGAGCACAAAUAAAGUUACUAACAGAGUAGACAUCUCUCACCCCUUCAGCUGGAUGGCAGGGAAAAUUUCUUGAUAUCAAAGAGAAAAAUUCAUGUAGUUCUUCCUCACUAUACAUUUUAAUAAACACAUCAGAGAAUGAUCAGCCAUGCCUUUGAAUACAGGUACACCUAAUAUGCACAGCACAGUGACAUAGAGCAAGUAGACAAAAAGUCCCUUCCAGGCCGCCAUUUCAAUGAAUCUAUGUUAUUGAUUUAGAAGAAAACACACUCUAAUAUAGUAGAGAUUCUGAAUUUUUGCAAAACUUUGUAAAAUUACUUCAGAAAUAUUUUUUCCAGUGCCAAAGAGAAGCUGAAGUAUAAGAGUGCAGUGGAGAGAGAUCAGCACAGUGGAAUCCAGUGUAUCCUGCAUACCAGUAUCUCACUGUAGGCAGUACAAGUAGGAUAACAGUUGUUUCCUCAAUCCUGGGAAUGUAGUGAUAAUCACUUUAUACCAUAAAAGACAAGACCACUUGAAUAUCAAGGAAUAAUACUCUACAAAGUACGUGCAAGGCUCAAUAGGACUCAACAUUCCUAUGGUACCCAGGUGUUUGCUUUUGGUUUGGGGUUGUUCAGGGUUUUGCAAAUACUGUGGGUGUAGAAGAAAAACAAAAAGUGCAGAUGGAUUAAUUCAGGGUUUCUGCAGAAAUCAGAGUAGGCAUAGAGAAGGCAGCACUAGGCAGCACUCAGAGAACAACUUAGGUCAGAAAUAGCAGAGAAAAGCUCAUGAUCAAUCUUGGGUCACUUGAAAGGCUGAGGGAGCUGGGCCUGUUCAGCUUCAAGGAGAGAUGACUGAGAGAGGACCCCAUCAAAGUGUAUGAAUAUUUAAAGCAGGGAUGUCUGGGAUGUUCUCAGUGGUGCCAAGCAAUAGGACAAGAGGCCAUGGCAGAAAGUGAUGCAUAGGAAGUUCCACCUGGAUAUGAGGAAGAACUUCUUUAUUGUGUGGGUGCCUGCCCACUGGAACAGAUUGCUCAGAGUGGUUGUGGAGUCUCUCACUGGAAAUACUCAUGAACUAUCUGCACACAAUCCUGUGCGACGUGCUCUGGGAUGACCCCGGUUGAGCAGGGAGGCUGAACCAGAUGACCCACUGUGAUCCUCGUGUGAAACCUGCAGACCCAGUUUCCCCAGCUCUUCUAGCAACACAACAAACAGUUCUGGGUACACUGCUGCUCUCCUGCUUACCCAGGAAUUGACAAUGCAGCUGUGUACAGUUUUUAAGACCCAAGUGUUUUCAAAACUCAGAAGCUGUUACCAGUAGAACACAAAAAAGUUGUGAAAUUGACCAACAGAGCUAAAAGGGAAACAAGAAUUCCUGAUUCUGACCUAGAAAGCAAGCCAUGCAGCCCCCUUCUUUCCCAGCUUUCCAUGCCUGGCAGGGGAAUUGAAGGCAGACAGAGGAAGCAGACAACAGCCAGGUAUCUCAACUAUGCAGCUAGACCUGUAAGAAGUAUGUGUAAGACGCAGAUUUUGUCAAACAAGCAUUGAUCCAUCCCAAUGACACUAAAAACCCCCUACUUGUAUCUUGGAACUCUUGGGAAAAGCUACAGCUGAAGCUCUUGUUGGUUUAAUCAUGCACGUUAUGAUCAAACAUCUUCAAAAUCACCAUUGAUUUUGAGAGGCUCCACUUCAAAGAGAUCAUCCAUCAAACCCAAGAAGUGACAAAGAUCCGCACUGGAAGGCAGCUGAGGAUUCCAUGCCGACGGCCGGGUAGCUACAGCGAGGUCACCCUCUCUCUGCUAAACUACAACCUUUUUUGUUACAUCACUGCAGCCUGCAAUUACUAUCGGAGUAGAGAACGGCAAGCUGUCUGCUGAGGCGGAAUUAAACCAAUUCCAGCUGCGGCAGCUUCCCCACCGAGAGACCCUGGGUUUUGCUCCGAGCAGACCGCGGUGGGGACCCCUGUGUGGCGCGCAGAGCGGCCGCGCCACGGACGCUGCGCAGCGCCUUAGGACGGGAAGGGAAGGAGACUGCCACCCCCAGCUGAGCCACACCUAAGUCAAUUAGGGCUUCACACCCCGGGAGAGAAGGAAAUCCGUGACUAGGCUGCCUUUUCUCCUCUGAGGUUCAUCAGGAUGGGCCUAUUCCAAGUGGAGGAGAUUAAACACGUGGCGUGUGUGUAGGUUACGAAAGGCAUGUGAGAGGAACUGGCUAGUGUUUGGGGUUAUGAAAGAUCAGAGGUUAUGAAAGACCUUGGCAGUUAUGAAAGAUGAGCCAAGAGUCUGAUCCAGCAAGGCAGAGAGCAGCCUUAACCAGCUCGGAGGUGAAUGGACAGUCAAAAUCAGUCAGCAGCUCACAUGAGGAAGCUCACACUGCCUGGGCAGGUCUAGGCUAAGGAAGGUUUGAAAAAACAUGGACUAGAAGAAUGAUAAAGAGAAAUAUUACCAUUUAAAGGCCUUACAGGCAGCUGUAUUUUCUUGCAAAGUAUUUUGGUAGCUCUUAAAAUACUAGCUGCAGUUACUGAUUUUCUAAGAAGUAUUCUUUACUGGCCUUCUAGUCCUGUUUUAAAUCUACCUGCACAAGCCACAUAGCUGCAGUAAAUCUGUAAAAAACGAGGGCUUAUUCAGAUAUUUUAGCCUCCGGCUCAAAUUCAGCCUCUGGUGAUCCUAUUAUCACUAUUCUACCACCAGAAUGAAAAGAAGGCUGGGAAAUUCUACUGUUCAAAUGCUUGUUUUCCAGACAUCACUUAGAAAGAGGAUGUACUACUGCUAAGAAAAAUAUUGAGGAGAGCACUUCCCCCUCUUUGCAACAGUACUUCUCUGUGAAGCUUUGUGUAACUUUCUGUAGAUACCUUCAGUGGGGAUACUUGUGUAUCCUGCCUAUUGCAUUGUAAUUCACACUGCCUGCUUUUAAAACAGGCCUUAAACAGUCUUCCAAAUGCCCCUGUGGCAGCCUAAUAAAAACAAAUCUCCAGGCAUUUAGGCAGAUCCCAGGCAUACAGGAAGAAACCACUUGCACUACAUCAGAAUAGGAUCUAGCCUGUUUCAGCAAUAGGUAUAGACUUUUAUUCUUGGUAAAUUCAGUAACUAAAAAUUUGUAGUUCAAGGAAAAACACAGAAAGCAUUUCUAUCAUGGUCUGAGAUGCUUCCUAGAAUGCAAAAACAUGAUUAACUCUACAUUUUCCUUUUCACCAAAGUUAAAGCUGUCUAUACUACAUCUCAGCAGUCCACAAAUCUCACCAGGAAAUACAUUUACCCAUCUGGGCCUGCACAGAAACUCUCUAGGGAAGGUCCCGAAGACACCUCAUGCUAUGGCAGCAACAAAAAGCACAAAUUUCCAAAACCUAGAGGAAACUCAGGUUAAGGAAGAAUCCAGACCAAUUCUGUUCUAUACUAGUCCGAAUUAUACUGCAUGUUUGUAGGGUUUUUGCACUUCAGGAAACUAAUCUAACAUAAGAAUGACGCAAAUACGCAUUUGGAGGAAACGUGACUUAGAACAAUCAGUCAGCAGAAAGAUUGACAAAUAUUUGGUGAGGAUUUAUUCAACAAAAUUUCAUCAUUUCAUGCUUAAACCAAACUUAUACACUUUGUGUACUAGUUAAUUCACCUUCUCAUAGUUCGUUACCAUUUUUUUUUUCUGAUUCAAAAUGGGGACUACAAAAUAUUUCAUUAAGUAGACUGACAGCCUUGCUGUCUUUGUGGCAUCCACUGCCAGGGUGCAGCUUAGAAAUUUAAAGAAUGAAGUUGAAUUCUUGUGGUACAAUCCACAAAGUUCAGUCCCUUGCUUUAGAAGGAAAAGGUCUAAGUGUUUCAUUUUAAAAAGUGUCUAUUUUUGUGAACUGCCUAGGCAAGAGUGUCCCUCUCAUUCCAAAGUCAUCUGUGUCCUACAAGAUAAACAACAAAAGAAAACAUGUCUAGAUUUAGGGUCUGUUACAUUAAGUAGAAUACCCACAUCAAUUUAAUUUAGCCUAGUCUCUAGGAAAUUAAAUUAUUUUGUGCUCAGAGAUAGUAAAUGGUGGUGUUAGGCAAUUUUCUUCAUGCAAAUUCAUUACUAAAGCAUCUCUAUUCUAGCCCUGAAAAUGAAACUCUCAACCACAAAGCAGGUGCUGAAAGACAAUAACAAAUUUCAUGCACUCUAUGUACCUAAUGCCUCUUUCAAAAAGCUACGCUGAUGGAUUCAGUCCCUGGGCUCUCUUUUUUCCCAUUCAAUGCCAAAUGUGCAUCAGAACAAGUCAUUUGGAAAAGCCUCACUCUGACAGAUAAAGUGUGUGUUCCCAACACUCAC